GAUGAAGAACGCAGUGAAAUGCGAUAAGUAAUGUGAAUUGCAGAAUUCAGUGAAUCAUCGAAUCUUUGAACGCACAUUGCGCCCGCCAGUAUUCUGGCGGGCAUGCCUGUUCGAGCGUCAUUUCAACCCUCAGGCCCCCAGUGCCUGGCGUUGGGGUUCGGCGCGGCGCCCUCCGGGGCGCUGCCGGCCCCGAAAUUCAGUGGCGGUCUCGCUGUAGCCCUCCUCCGCGUAGUAGCACAACCUCGCGGCCUGGAGCUCGGCGGUGGCCAUGCCGUAAAACACCCCACUUCUGAAAGUUGACCUCGGAUCAGGUAGGAAUACCCGCUGAACUUAAGCAUAUCAAUAAGCGGGA
rnacentral:misc_RNA from 1 species